rnacentral:rRNA from 1 species
CACGGGGGGAGCAAGCGUUGUUCGGAAUUAUUGGGCGUAAAGAGCUCGUAGGCGGUCUGUCGCGUCGGCUGUGAAAACCCGAGGCUCAACCUCGGGCCUGCAGUCGAUACGGGCAAACUAGAGUACUGCAGGGGAGACUGGAAUUCCUGGUGUAGCGGUGAAAUGCGCAGAUAUCAGGAGGAACACCGGUGGCGAAGGCGGGUCUCUGGGCAGUAACUGACGCUGAGGAGCGAAAGCGUGGGGAGCGAACAGG